GCACUGUUGAGGAGUCCCACAAUGGGACGAAACAGCUUUCCAGUGC
rnacentral:hammerhead_ribozyme from 1 species